rnacentral:rRNA from 1 species
CGGGUGAAGGAACUAGGCAAAAUGGCACCGUAACUUCGGGAGAAGGUGCGCCGGUGAGGGUGAAGGACUUGCUCCGUAAGCUCAUGCCGGUCGAAGAUACCAGGCCGCUGCGACUGUUUAUUAAAAACACAGCACUCUGCAAACACGAAAGUGGACGUAUAGGGUGUGACGCCUGCCCGGUGCCGGAAGGUUAAUUGAUGGGGUUAGCUAACGCGAAGCUCUUGAUCGAAGCCCCGGUAAACGGCGGCCGUAACUAUAACGGUCCUAAGGUAGCGAAAUUCCUUGUCGGGUAAGUUCCGACCUGCACGAAUGGCGUAACGAUGGCGGCGCUGUCUCCACCCGAGACUCAGUGAAAUUGAAAUCGCUGUGAAGAUGCAGUGUAUCCGCGGCUAGACGGAAAGACCCCGUGAACCUUUACUAUAGCUUUGCACUGGACUUUGAAUUUGCUUGUGUAGGAUAGGUGGGAGGCUUUGAAGCGUGGACGCCAGUCUGCGUGGAGCCAACCUUGAAAUACCACCCUGGCAACUUUGAGGUUCUAACUCAGGUCCGUUAUCCGGAUCGAGGACAGUGUAUGGUGGGUAGUUUGACUGGGGCGGUCUCCUCCUAAAGAGUAACGGAGGAGUACGAAGGUGCGCUCAGACCGGUCGGAAAUCGGUCGUAGAGUAUAAAGGCAAAAGCGCGCUUGACUGCGAGACAGACACGUCGAGCAGGUACGAAAGUAGGUCUUAGUGAUCCGGUGGUUCUGUAUGGAAGGGCCAUCGCUCAACGGAUAAAAGGUACUCCGGGGAUAACAGGCUGAUACCGCCCAAGAGUUCAUAUCGACGGCGGUGUUUGGCACCUCGAUGUCGGCUCAUCACAUCCUGGGGCUGAAGCCGGUCCCAAGGGUAUGGCUGUUCGCCAUUUAAAGUGGUACGCGAGCUGGGUUUAGAACGUCGUGAGACAGUUCGGUCCCUAUCUGCCGUGGACGUUUGAGAUUUGAGAGGGGCUGCUCCUAGUACGAGAGGACCGGAGUGGACGAACCUCUGGUGUUCCGGUUGUCACGCCAGUGGCAUUGCCGGGUAGCUAUGUUCGGAAUAGAUAACCGCUGAAAGCAUCUAAGCGGGAAACUAGCCUCAAGAUGAGAUCUCACUGGAACCUUGAGUUCCCUGAAGGGCCGUCGAAGACUACGACGUUGAUAGGUUGGGUGUGUAAGCGCUGUGAGGCGUUGAGCUAACCAAUACUAAUUGCCCGUGAGGCUUGACCAU